rnacentral:misc_RNA from 1 species
GAUGAAGAACGUAGCGAAAUGCGAUACUUGGUGUGAAUUGCAGAAUCCCGUGAACCAUCGAGUUUUUGAACGCAAGUUGCGCCCGAAGUCGUUAGGCCGAGGGCACGCCUGCCUGGGUGUCACACAUCGUUGCCCCAAUGCCAAUCGCCUCACUUUGUAGGUAUUUGCUUGGGGUGAAUGUUGGCCUCCCGUGAGCUUUGUCUCACGGUUGGUUGAAAAUCGAGUGCAUGGUGUCGGGUGUACCAUGAUGGAUGGUGGUUGAGUGAUGAUGCUCGGUGACCCACAUGCGUCCCUUGGAUGCUCCCUAAGGAGACCUCAGGUCAGGCGGGGCUACCCACUGAGUUUAAGCAUAUCAAUAAGCGGAGGA